AUAUAUAUAUAUAUAUAUAUAUACACACACACAUACAUAUUCACAGCCACCAUGCAUUGUUAUGUAAAACCUAAUUAUAUGAGUUUGUUAUAUACAAACUUAAUAUCCAUCAUUCUUAACUAAAUCUAUUUUUAUUAAGUUUUCUCCUUAACUGGGGUGAAAAAAAGUCUUAGCUCUGCCACAAUUGUUUUAAAAAAUUUACAAAAGUAAGCUGUACUUUCAACUAACUAUGCUUAAUAUAAUGCGGUUGAACUGUAUAUUAUCCUAUAUCUUUUGUGUGUGUAUUAAUAUAUAGAACAAAAAAAAAAAAAAAAAAAA